rnacentral:rRNA from 1 species
CCUACGGGUGGCUGCAGUGGGGAAUAUUGCACAAUGGAGGAAACUCUGAUGCAGCAACGCCGCGUGCGUGAAGAAGUCUUUCGGUAUGUAAAGCUCUAUCAGCAGGGAGGAAGAUGACGGUACCUGAAUAAGACUCCCCGGCUCACUACGGGCCAGCAGGCGCGGUAAUACGUAGGGGGCAAGCGUUAUCCGGAUGUACUGGGUGUAAAGGGAGCGUAGACGGUGAGACAAGUCUGAAGUGAAAGCCUGGGGCUCAACCCCGGGACUGCUUUGGAAACUGCCUGACUGGAGUGCUGGAGAGGCAAGCGGAAUUUCUAGUGUAGCGGUGAAAUGCGUAGAGAUUAGGAAGAACACCAGUGGCGAAGGCGGCCUGCCGGGGUGCGACUGACGCUGAGGCUCGAAGGUGCGGGUAGCAAACAGGAUUAGAUACCCGUGUAGUC